rnacentral:rRNA from 1 species
UCCUCCAAGGCUAAAUACUCCUGACUGACCGAUAGUGAACCAGUACCGUGAGGGAAAGGCGAAAAGAACCCCGGCGAGGGGAGUGAAAAAGAACCUGAAACCGUGUACGUACAAGCAGUGGGAGCACGCUUAGGCGUGUGACUGCGUACCUUUUGUAUAAUGGGUCAGCGACUUAUAUUCUGUAGCAAGGUUAACCGAAUAGGGGAGCCGAAGGGAAACCGAGUCUUAACUGGGCGUUAAGUUGCAGGGUAUAGACCCGAAACCCGGUGAUCUAGCCAUGGGCAGGUUGAAGGUUGGGUAACACUAACUGGAGGACCGAACCGACUAAUGUUGAAAAAUUAGCGGAUGACUUGUGGCUGGGGGUGAAAGGCCAAUCAAACCGGGAGAUAGCUGGUUCUCCCCGAAAGCUAUUUAGGUAGCGCCUCGUGAAUUCAUCUCCGGGGGUAGAGCACUGUUUCGGCAAGGGGGUCAUCCCGACUUACCAACCCGAUGCAAACUGCGAAUACCGGAGAAUGUUAUCACGGGAGACACACGGCGGGUGCUAACGUCCGUCGUGAAGAGGGAAACAACCCAGACCGCCAGCUAAGGUCCCAAAGUCAUGGUUAAGUGGGAAACGAUGUGGGAAGGCCCAGACAGCCAGGAUGUUGGCUUAGAAGCAGCCAUCAUUUAAAGAAAGCGUAAUAGCUCACUGGUCGAGUCGGCCUGCGCGGAAGAUGUAACGGGGCUAAACCAUGCACCGAAGCUGCGGCAGCGACGCUUAUGCGUUGUUGGGUAGGGGAGCGUUCUGUAAGCCUGCGAAGGUGUGCUGUGAGGCAUGCUGGAGGUAUCAGAAGUGCGAAUGCUGACAUAAGUAACGAUAAAGCGGGUGAAAAGCCCGCUCGCCGGAAGACCAAGGGUUCCUGUCCAACGUUAAUCGGGGCAGGGUGAGUCGACCCCUAAGGCGAGGCCGAAAGGCGUAGUCGAUGGGAAACAGGUUAAUAUUCCUGUACUUGGUGUUACUGCGAAGGGGGGACGGAGAAGGCUAUGUUGGCCGGGCGACGGUUGUCCCGGUUUAAGCGUGUAGGCUGGUUUUCCAGGCAAAUCCGGAAAAUCAAGGCUGAGGCGUGAUGACGAGGCACUACGGUGCUGAAGCAACAAAUGCCCUGCUUCCAGGAAAAGCCUCUAAGCAUCAGGUAACAUCAAAUCGUACCCCAAACCGACACAGGUGGUCAGGUAGAGAAUACCAAGGCGCUUGAGAGAACUCGGGUGAAGGAACUAGGCAAAAUGGUGCCGUAACUUCGGGAGAAGGCACGCUGAUAUGUAGGUGAAGUCCCUCGCGGAUGGAGCUGAAAUCAGUCGAAGAUACCAGCUGGCUGCAACUGUUUAUUAAAAACACAGCACUGUGCAAACACGAAAGUGGACGUAUACGGUGUGACGCCUGCCCGGUGCCGGAAGGUUAAUUGAUGGGGUCAGCGCAAGCGAAGCUCUUGAUCGAAGCCCCGGUAAACGGCGGCCGUAACUAUAACGGUCCUAAGGUAGCGAAAUUCCUUGUCGGGUAAGUUCCGACCUGCACGAAUGGCGUAAUGAUGGCCAGGCUGUCUCCACCCGAGACUCAGUGAAAUUGAACUCGCUGUGAAGAUGCAGUGUACCCGCGGCAAGACGGAAAGACCCCGUGAACCUUUACUAUAGCUUGACACUGAACAUUGAGCCUUGAUG